CUCAUGCUCUGAACUGAUUUACAAAGAGGAAGAUGUUUUCCGUGCGUGUUCUCUUCGUUUGGGUUCUUGCACUGCAUCUAUGUGGAUCGUUGGGAUGUGGAGCCCCUCUGCUUGCUCAAGAUGAAGUGGAGGCUCUUAAUGAAAUUGCAACGACACUCAACAAACCCGACUGGAAUUUCAGCGUGGAUCCCUGCAGCGGAGAAUCCAACUGGUUUACACAUAAGACCAACACGGGUAGAAAUAGCUCGGUCGGGUGUAACUGUACCAUAAUCUGCCAUGUCCAGUUUAUGUACGCUUCCUAAUCUUGCCUGCACUGUUUUAUUUAUUAUUAUUAUUAUUUUUUUUUAAUUAAUGCUUUUACCUUAUCAGUGAGACUUACCUCAUUAGCCCGGGUUUACCUGAGCAUGUCACAGUUCAUGUCCAAGAAAAUAGGUGUCACCAGCUGCGUAGUGUGGUUAGAGAUUGUAUGGACUUUUCUGACUUAUUUCAAUUGGGACAUAGGAUAAUGAGAAAUUCUACAGUC